rnacentral:rRNA from 1 species
CUUGGUCAAUUAGAGGAAGUAAAAGUCGUAACAAGGUUUCCGUAGGUGAACCUGCGGAAGGAUCAUUACCGAGAGGGGUUUUCGGACCCCGGGGGCUCCGGCCCCCCAACUCUUCACCCUCUGUCCACGUACCAUUGUUGCUUUGACGGGCCCCGAGGUUCGCCCCUCGAUCGGCCGGCGGCCUCGCGGCCCCGGCCCGUUCGCGCCCGUCAGAGGCCCCUUCAAUCCGACUUACCGUUGCCGUCCGAGUGAAACCAUAAUUAGUAAAAACUUUCAACAACGGAUCUCUUGGUUCUGGCAUCGAUGAAGAACGCAGCGAAAUGCGAUAAGUAAUGUGAAUUGCAGAAUUCAGUGAAUCAUCGAAUCUUUGAACGCACAUUGCGCCCCUCGGUAUUCCGGGGGGCAUACCUGUUCGAGCGUCAUUGCACCCCUCAAGCUCGGCUUGGUAUUGGGUCUUCGCCCCUAGGGCGGGCCCGAAAGUCAGUGGCGGUUCGGCGCGACUUCGAGCGUAGUAAAUCUUCUCCCGCUCUGGAAGUUCGCGCCGUGACCGGCCAGGACGCCCAAAUCUUCCAAUGAUGACCUCGAUCUGUAGGAGCCCCGUCGUAAGUGGUUGGG